GGGACGUGAACACUGACCAGUUCCAACUGCCCCCAUCUCCGUGGAAGAACUCACGUACUGGAAAACUACAUGCAUAGUAGGUCAUCUGAAUGGGACCAGGACUUCUCCAAAGAAACAUGGAUCCUUCAGGGGUAAAGAGAUGCCCACUGUAAAGCAAGGCAAACAGCAGGAGCUUGGAUAUUCAUUGCCGAGUGAAAAGGUGGCUCCUUUUGAUGGCUCCCUGUGGACCCUGGGGACCUUGGAUUCCUAUGGAGCCCUGUGGGGGAAAAGGAACACAUGUUAACACUCUAGUUCAAGUGUCUGCCAUGAAAGAAUGUCGUGAUGACUGACCCUCAUUUCAGGGACUAACAUGGAGAAAUCAAGUUGGUCCAACAACUGACAUGAAAGCUUUAUGACCGCUGGCUGGCUUUUGUAAUGCUGGAAAUGUGAUGUACCCGAUUUGAGGAGAGGAGGAGUCAUCAGUCACACCAGGAAAUGAACUGUAACUACAAUAAUGGUCAGGCAGGGACUCAAAACAAGUCAAUGAAGAAAAUAACCAGUGUGGAAUGCCCAGUCCUGAAUGGGACAUCAAGUCUAAGAAGAUUUUAAGAGUCAGAUGAGGAACGCAACCUCCCAGAGAGCAUCUAUGCUCCAGUAAACACCUCUAUACCUGAUCACAUACUGGCAACAUUAAGUGGACUCACUGUGAUUUAAACAAAACAAAACAAAACAAAACAAAGCAACCCCCCCCCCCCCCGCAGAGAUUCAGAGAUGCAGUAAACAGGGCAAAAAGCUGGAUAGAAGAGAAUGGGAGUUUGACUUGAUCAAAAGCAUUGUAUGAAUGUAUUAUACAGAGUUUAAAAAUAAUAAAAGUUAUUCAUUGUAUAUCAAGGAGGUGUGUGGCCUGACACAUGUGUAGAGGUUAGAAGGCAGUACCCAUGAAGGCCAGAGGGAUGAGAUC
rnacentral:lncRNA from 1 species